rnacentral:lncRNA from 1 species
GUCCUGAACAAAUUUCACCCUUUGUUUUUUUUCUACCUAUUACGGUUACGGUGUUGGAACGAUAACAAGGUUUUUUGGGUUUCGGAGGGAUUACUCCGAACCGACAAAAUAUUUCGACUCACAGGGUGAGUUCCGGAUAGGUAUUCAUGACACCGAUACAAAGUGUGAACAUGAAAGCGACACGUCUUACGGUUACGGAGGCUAACUUCGUCAAAGUUUGGCGGAAAAAGAAUAAUAAUAAUAAUAAACAGAAGAAAUACAGUAAGGUCUUUCCCUUUUGUAAAAGGAAAGACCUUAAUUAAACUGUCAAUUGUUCUUGAACAAUUGAGAGGUCUUUCCUUUUGUAAUGUAAAAUACAUGUUCCAAUAGACGUAGAAUGUAUUGAAAAGGUCAAGGUCAACCUUAAAAAGCUCGAAAACACAC